GCGGAAGUAGCUCAUUCGGUAGAGCGAUGGCCUUCCAAGCCGUAGGUGGCGGGUUCGAGCCCCGUCUUCCGCUCCA
rnacentral:tRNA from 1 species